UGCAAGUCGAACGAUGAACUCCAGCUUGCUGGGGGGAUUAGUGGCGAACGGGUGAGUAACACGUGAGUAACCUGCCCUGGACUCUGGGAUAACCCCGAGAAAUCGGAGCUAAUACCGGAUAGGACCUGGAACCGCAUGGUUUUGGGUGGAAAGUUUUUUCGGUCUGGGAUGGACUCGCGGCCUAUCAGCUUGUUGGUGAGGUAAUGGCUCACCAAGGCGUCGACGGGUAGCCGGCCUGAGAGGGUGACCGGCCACACUGGGACUGAGACACGGCCCAGACUCCUACGGGAGGCAGCAGUGGGGAAUAUUGCACAAUGGGCGAAAGCCUGAUGCAGCAACGCCGCGUGAGGGAUGACGGCCUUCGGGUUGUAAACCUCUUUUAGUAAGGAAGAAGGGGAGCUUGCUCCUUGACGGUACUUGCAGAAAAAGGACCGGCUAACUACGUGCCAGCAGCCGCGGUAAUACGUAGGGUCCGAGCGUUGUCCGGAAUUAUUGGGCGUAAAGAGCUCGUAGGCGGUUUGUCACGUCUGCUGUGAAAUCCCGAGGCUCAACCUCGGGCCUGCAGUGGGUACGGGCAGACUGGAGUGCGGUAGGGGAGAUUGGAAUUCCUGGUGUAGCGGUGGAAUGCGCAGAUAUCAGGAGGAACACCGAUGGCGAAGGCAGAUCUCUGGGCCGUAACUGACGCUGAGGAGCGAAAGCGUGGGGAGCGAACAGGAUUAGAUACCCUGGUAGUCCACGCCGUAAACGUUGGGCGCUAGAUGUGGGGACCAUUCCACGGUUUCCGUGUCGUAGCUAACGCAUUAAGCGCCCCGCCUGGGGAGUACGGCCGCAAGGCUAAAACUCAAAGGAAUUGACGGGGGCCCGCACAAGCGGCGGAGCAUGCGGAUUAAUUCGAUGCAACGCGAAGAACCUUACCAAGGCUUGACAUAUACGAGAACGCUGCAGAAAUGUGGAACUCUUUGGACACUCGUAUACAGGUGGUGCAUGGUUGUCGUCAGCUCGUGUCGUGAGAUGUUGGGUUAAGUCCCGCAACGAGCGCAACCCUCGUCGUAUGUUGCCAGCACGUAAUGGUGGGAACUCAUAUGAGACUGCCGGGGUCAACUCGGAGGAAGGUGGGGAUGACGUCAAAUCAUCAUGCCCCUUAUGUCUUGGGCUUCACGCAUGCUACAAUGGCCGGUACAAAGGGCUGCGAUGUCGUAAGGCGGAGCGAAUCCCAAAAAGCCGGUCUCAGUUCGGAUUGAGGUCUGCAACUCGACCUCAUGAAGUCGGAGUCGCUAGUAAUCGCAGAUCAGCAACGCUGCGGUGAAUACGUUCCCGGGCCUUGUACACACCGCCCGUCAAGUCAUGAAAGUCGGUAACACCCGAAGCCGGUGGCCUAACCC
rnacentral:rRNA from 1 species